rnacentral:tRNA from 1 species
GCCCGGAUAGCUCAGUUGGUAGAGCAGGGGAUUGAAAAUCCCCGUGUCCUUGGUUCGAUUCCGAGUCCGGGCA